GACGGGGGCCCGCACAAGCGGAGGACAUGUGUUUAAUUCGAUGAUACGCGAGGAACCUUUACCGUGGGCUUUAAAUGGGGAGUGACAGCUGUCGAAAGAUGGUUUUCUUCGGACACUCUUCAAGGUGCUGCAUGGUUGUCGUCAGCUCGUGCCGUGAGGUGUCGGGUUAAGUCCCAUAACGAGCGCAACCCUUACCGUUAGUUACCAUCAGGUUAAGCUGGGGACUCUAGCGGGACUGCCACCGUAAGGUGAGAGAAGUGGGGAUGACGUCAAAUCAGCACGGCCCUUAUGUCCAGGGCUACACACGUGUUACAAUGGCCAGUACAAAGGGCAGCUACCGGGUGACCGGAUGCUAAUCUCUAAAGCUGGUCUCAGUUCGGAUCGAAGUCUGCAACCCGACUUCGUGAAGCUGGAUUCGCUAGUAAUCGCGCAUCAGCCAUGGCGCGGUGAAUACGUUCCCGGGCCUU
rnacentral:rRNA from 1 species